rnacentral:rRNA from 1 species
AACGAACGCUGGCGGCAUGCCUAACACAUGCAAGUCGAACGAGACCUUCGGGUCUAGUGGCGCACGGGUUCGUAACGCGUGGGAACCUGCCCUUAGGUUCGGAAUAACUCCCCGAAAGGGGUGCUAAUACCGGAUAAUGUCUUCGGACCAAAGAUUUAUCGCCUUUGGAUGGGCCCGCGUUGGAUUAGCUAGUUGGUAGGGUAAAAGCCUACCAAGGCGACGAUCCAUAGCUGGUCUGAGAGGAUGAUCAGCCACACUGGGACUGAGACACGGCCCAGACUCCUACGGGAGGCAGCAGUGGGGAAUAUUGGACAAUGGGCGAAAGCCUGAUCCAGCAAUGCCGCGUGAGUGAUGAAGGCCUUAGGGUUGUAAAGCUCUUUUAACCGGGAUGAUAAUGACAGUACCGGGAGAAUAAGCUCCGGCUAACUCCGUG